rnacentral:lncRNA from 1 species
UAAUUUCAUUUUUCCCAGAGGUGGGGCAGAGCCCCAGGUGUUCCCAUGGCAAGAUAACUUCAGUGGUGGAGGAACCUUUAAGUCAUGGCAACUGUUUUCCAAUGACCCCACAGAUCUUCUCAAGACCCUUUCCUAACAGGAGGUGGAAAAACAGCAGUGAUGAUAAGAAAGCUGUUCUGCUGUUGGUCCUCCGGAAUACAGAAAAAACUGGCUGGAGACCCAAAGUGGCUAUUUUGCACCUGCCUGCUGCCUCUCCCUCUCUUCCAGCUGGCUUGUCUCCAUGUUCUGCCAUUCAGGGUAUGGCUAGGUCUUGUGGAUGCUUUCCUGGAACAUCUG